rfam:Gossypium raimondii Chr13_contig_1071, whole genome shotgun sequence.
CACGUCAGCGCGCUUUGCUGACGUGGACACAAAUUGCGUCCAUGUAAGUGCGAUUUGUUGCCACGUCAGCAAAGCGCGCUGCUGUGG